AGUGAUUAAUGCCAAAGCCCUGUUGCCUGUGGAGGGGGUGAUGUUUGACUUUCUUGUACAGCUGCAGUUUGUGUGGUGAAGGUGCUCCCACAAUGUGGUUGGGAUGAGGCUAUCACUGGCUCGGCCAGCAUUUAUUGCUGCGUUUACCCAGUGGGCAGUUAAGAAUCAACCACGUUGCUAUAGGUCUGGAGUCCCAUGCAGACCAGACCAGAUCCCAGUGAUCAGUGCCAAAGCCUCAUUGCCUGUGGAGAGGGUGAUGUUUGAUUUCCCUGUCCAGCUGCAGUUCAUGUGGUGAAGGUGCUCCCACAAUGUGGUUGGGUGGACAUUCAGAUGGUAAUCUCAGUAAUUGUAACGCCAAACUGUGACAAAAUUACUCAAUUCAUCAGGAGCUGGAUAUUCACAU